rnacentral:lncRNA from 1 species
UUUAAUUUAUUUUAGUUAAAACCCUUAAGUGACUAUACGACUGCAUUGCUGUUGCUUCAACUUUUCUGGAACAACUGCUGAAGUUAUGCGAAUCCUUCUCUAUUUCUCCUCUUCUUCUUCUCCUAUUAGGGUUUUCUAGUUUUUUUAUCCUUCUUCUCUAUUACUCUUUUUCAUCUCUUUUUUUUUCUCUUCUUCUUCUCUAUUUCUCUUCUUCUUCUCUGUUUUCCAGUUCUGUUUUAUUUUUUAUUUUUUGGCUGUAUGUACUCUAGAUAGCUGAGAAUUACAUGUUUAUGCACUCUACGGUAAACAAAACGACUGAAUUCUACAUAGUUCAGGCAUUUAUUUCAAUUGAAUGCUUCAGAGAGACAGAAGGGGCUACAACUUACAAUAACGUUCUCUCUCUUCACUAACGUUACAAUAACGUUUCACCAAACGUCCUUCUUCUCCGAUCAAGCAGCCGGUGACGGCAACAAGUAAGUCUACAUUCUUUGCCUCUCUCGAGCACCUUCUCUCCCUCUCUCUCCCCCCAGCUCUCCAGAGUGACUUUCCUCUCUCCCUCCCCCCUUCUUGGCCAUCUGCCGCUGUUAUAGCCGGCAAGACUAGGGUUUUCGCCGGCACGACUCCGGUGACGGUCCCUGAAACGCAGAACUGGUCACGCCCAGUUGAAGCUCCAGCUCCAGCAACAGCCGACAGCCGGAGAAAACCCGCGCGCAUUAUUAUAAAGAAAAUCACAAAAAAUUUCAAGUAUAAAACGACCCGUUGAAAGGCCGAAUUCUUUACAUAAAGAAAGUAAAGUCGUUCAUCUAUAUUUAAAAACCUAAGAAGAACAAUAAUAACAUAGAAAAGGCAUGACCAGAAGAAUUGUGUGAAAGAAGUGAUCCCCAGGCCCCAAAAUCCUGAGGUAUCGGUCUAUAUGCAACUGGAGAAUCUUUUUAUGGAUCUGGAAAUGGAUAUAGAGACUCCCACCGAAGAAAAGAUCUGCCUCUGGAUAGAAGCGCAGGUGCUUGAGUGAAAGGCAGACAGGUAAGGGUAGGGACAGCUUUCCGGCGACGCUAUUUUCAGCAAACAACUCAGAAAGCAAAUUGACGAUACCAUCAGUAUGCAGGAGUACCCUGGUGACAACUAAGCUUUGAUAUUUACAUGCUUUUACUAGUUAUUAUUUUACCGUUCGUUUGUAUUGUUUUGUUUUCUUGUGAGUAUAGUUUGUAUCGGUUUGCUGUAGCUUGUUGGUGGAUAUCUGUGUGUUGUAGCUGCUAGGCCGGAUCGGGUAUUUUUGUGAUUGAAUACUGUUUCUUUACUGCUUCCUUCCUUUUCCUUUUCUGCUUUCCUAUUGGUGCUUUGUUUUUCGUGUCUACUUGUCUAUUGGCUUGGGGCUUUGUUUGGGCUUGGUUUUGGCCUUAAGUGGUGGCUGUAGGGGUUGAUGGUGGAAUAGGG